GUUCUUACACUUUUAACACCGAAAAAUGCUAGAACUAUCUUAAGCGAACCCCAAAAAAAAAAAAAAAAAAAAACCCAACUCAUCAAACUGAAGCAAACAAUAAGAAAUGGAUGUGCUCAAGCUCGAUACCAAAUGGGUCUCCACCAUAGCCAGCAUAUGGAUCCAGUGCACAAGCGGCUCUCUCUACACCUUCUCCAUCUACUCCUCAGUUCUAAAAUCAACCCAAGCCUACGACCAAUCCACGCUCGACACCGUGUCUGUCUUCAAAGACAUAGGCGUCAACGCCGGCGUCCUCUCCGGCGUCCUCUACUCCUCCGCCACAACAGCUAAUCACCGCCGCCGUACUGGGCCGUGGCUGGUCCACCUGGUAGGCGCGGUUCAAUGCUUUUUGGGGUAUUUCCUGAUGUGGGCCUCCGUUGUUGGGCUGAUUCCUCGGCCUCCCAUGGCGGCCAUGUGCUUGUUCAUGUUGGUGGCGGCUCACGCGCAGAGCUUCUUCAACACUGCUAAUGUGGUCACUGGGGUUAGGAACUUUCCUAAUUAUAGUGGCACUAUUGUUGGCAUUAUGAAGGGUUUUCUUGGUUUAAGUGGAGCAAUUUUAAUUGAAGUAUAUGAGACAAUAUUCACCAACAAGCCUACAUCCUAUCUUCUGAUGCUGGCACUGUUGCCUACUAUUAAUACUUUGUUGCUCAUGUGGUUUGUGAGAAUCAACAACACUAAUGAAGGAGAUGAAAAGAAACACUUAGAUUCUUUCUCACUGAUUGCACUGGUCAUUGCUGCUUAUCUUAUGGCCAUAAUAAUAUUAGAGCACAUUUUUUUAUUUCAAUUUGCAAUACGUGUCAUUGCAUUUGUGCUGCUCAUGCUGCUGCUUGCCUCACCUCUUUGCAUAGCAAUUAGAGCCCAUCAAAGAGAUUCUGAUAGGAUUUCACAGACUCUCGUUAUUGAGAGGGACCAACUAAUGGAUGAUCCAAACCAGCUGGUUGCUGAGAAGAUAUAUGCAAGACAAGAUUCUGCUGGGUAUCGCUAUUUGCCCAGCAGUACUGAUCAAGAGAUGGAUAAUAAUGAUAGGAGGACUUUACAGGCAGAACAAAAUCUCAAUCUGUUGCAAGCUAUGCACACUGUAGACUUCUGGAUUUUAUUUCUUGCCAUGGCUUGUGGUAUGGGCCCAGGACUUGCUACAGUGAAUAACAUGAGCCAGAUAGGAGGAUCUCUUGGAUACACCAGCUUUGAGACAGGUACUUUGGUUUCUUUGUGGAGCAUUUGGAAUUUUCUUGGCCGUUUUGGAGCUGGCUACGUAUCAGAUUAUUUUUUGCACUCAAGAGGAUGUGCAAGGCCAUUGUUCAUGGUCAUCACGCUAGCAAUCAUGAGCAUUGGUUAUUUGGUGAUUGCUUCUGGUUUGCCUGGUGCUCUAUAUGCUGGUUCAGUAUUAGUGGGUGUUUGUUAUGGUUCUCAGUGGUCACUAAUGCCCACUAUCACUUCUGAGAUAUUUGGCGUGGUUCAUAUGGGUACCAUUUUCAAUACAAUUACCAUAGCAAGUCCUGUUGGAUCUUAUAUAUUUUCUGUGAGAGUUGUUGGUUAUAUAUAUGACAAAGAAGCAUCAGGAGCUGGCAAAACAUGCACUGGAACUCAAUGCUUCAUGUUGUCUUUUCUUAUCAUGGCAUCUGCUACUCUUUUGGGGUCUCUUGCUGCCUUGGGGUUGUACUUUCGGACAAAAAGUUUCUAUAAUCAGGUUAUACUCAGAAGACUAAUACAUUCUUUGAGGGGAUAAAGUGUUGAGGAUUGUAAAAUACUUUGAAGGAGUCAAGUGCUUCUGUUCAGUGAGUAAAAGAGGUGGCAUUGGCCUACGGUCCCUGAUGUUUAAGUUAGUGAUCUUACCAGAGAAAUCAUUCUUUUUAGCAUACAGAUUGCUCAUACUUGACUCUAGUUGUGAGGCAUGAAUGUAUGGUUAGUUGGUUUUCCUUUGCUAGAUCCUUGUGCAUGAUUUUCUAAAAGCAACAGAUUCUUCUGGUAGUUAUGUGAUUGCAUCAUCCUCUCUGCCCAUCUAUUGAUUAGGUUCAACCAGAGGUGACAUGCUGGAGCUGGACUAUAUUGUUGAGAAAAAUUUAAGAAUAUCAAGAAGACAAAAUUGAAAAUUGUAAAUAUGAAGGAUUUCAAAUAAUUAAUGAUUAUUAUAUCUCUGUUUGUGCUUAUGCAUAUACCUACAUAUUUGUGCACACAUACACAUUAUUGAGUGAGAGUUUGUUCCUGCUCAGAAACAGGUUAUUUAACACAUGCGACCUCCAGAUGUCGUCUUGUUGAACGACUAUGUAUCAUAUUUGUGAAUUUAUAUUUUUGAACAUUAA